CCGACUACAACCGUACAUCUCCAAAUUUUUAUCUGCCACUUUUCUUAUGCAACUGAAAACUAUCUGCAGUAAGGCUGUAACGUGACUGCAAGGAAAAAAUGUUCUUGGAUUUUAUUGAGAGCAAGAAUGGACCAAGGGAGGCGAAGAAUCAAAGCAGAACACAAAAGGCUUUAAUGAUGACAGUGAUGAAGUGACAUGUGGGUGGCUAGAAUUCCUGAUUCGUGGUGACAGAGGUAGUGGUAUGGACAUGUUGCAAUCCUCUGAACCAAGAAUGAAAACCUUGCAAGAGAAUUCAAUCCUUUCCUUCAAUGCAGCCUUUAAAGUAUCUCACGAGUCUUUGUUUUGGGGCAGCAAAUCACUGGUUGUGGAGAUAAGCAAAAGUAGUUUGCAGAGAAGUGUCUCUGUUUUUUAGUAUGGUAGGGCCUUUUUUUUUUCCGCCGAUUUGUUAUAGGGAUGAAUUUCGAUAGGUACAUUUUGUGAAUUUCUAUAAUUUUUUUUUUCACUUUCACGUUGUUAUUGGUUCUUUAGAUUACUGCAUGCUAUUGUGAUUGAUGAAACCCACAAGUUGUUCGAUAAAAUGUCCCACUGGGGGUGACAAGUGGUGGCAGUAGAGGAAGCUUGCGAGCUUUGAGUUCUCCACAAGAGUGCUUAGAGAUUAUAGCCAUGCAGUGUUUAGAAGAAACGCUACUAAGCUGGUUAGAGUUGUUCACAAGUCAUCAAAUGAUCGUCAAGCUUUUGAUAUGCAAGACAUACUAAUGAGAUGAACUUUGGAUUCAAUUUUCAAAGUUGGGUUUGGGGUAGAAUUGAAUUGCUUGGAGGGGUCAAGCAAGGAGGGAACUGCAUUCAUGAAGGCAUUUGAUGAAUCAAAUGCCUUGGUUUAUUGGCACUAUGUCGAUCCAUUCUAGAAGUUGAAAAGGUUUCUUAACAUUGGCUCCAAAGAUGCCCUUAAGAAGAAAAUCAAAAUCCUUGAUGAUUUUAUGCCUGGAGUAAUUAGGACCAAGAGGGAACUGCUAGAAGUGAAACAAGAUUGUGUAAGUUUUAAAUUUGUGACAAACUGACAAUGUCUAUUUAGGGAAACUCGAUAUGUAUUUGACUAUUUGUAACUUCCAAUGUUAUCUAUCUUUUAAAGGACUUAGGUACAAUGAGAUGCACCACUUGCUUUGAUAAUCUGGACUAAUGGUUUAGUUGAA